rnacentral:rRNA from 1 species
AAACCCUCCAACACCUAGGACUCAUCGUUUACGGCGUGGACUACCGGGGUAUCUAAUCGUGUUUGCUCCCCACGCUUUCGCGCCUGAGCGUCAGUUAUAGGCCAAAGAAGCGCCUUCGCCACUGGUGUUCCUCCACAUCUCUACGCAUUUCACCGCUACACGGGGAAUUCCACUCUUCUCUCCUAUACUCAAGCCUCACAGUUUCCAAUGGCCCUCCGGGGUUGAGCCGGGAGCUUUCACAUCAGACUUAAAAAGCCGCCUGCGCGCGCUUUACGCCCAAUAAUUCAGGACAACGCUUGCCACCCACGUAAUACCGCGGCUGCUGGCACGUAUUUAGCCGUGGCUUUCUCACAAGGUACCGUCAAAGUGCCGCCAUUGACUGAGGAACUUGUUCUUCCCUUACAACAGAACUUUAACACCCGAAAGCUCUCAUCGGUCACGCGGCUGUUGCUACAUAAGUACUUUCGGCUAUUGUGAAAGAUUCCCC